UCGAGGGAAACGGCAUUGAGUGCUUGCACUCUUUGGACGUCGACCGGCGCACGGGUGAGUAACGCGUAUCCAACCUUCCCAUUACUGUGGGAUAACCUGCCGAAAGGCAGACUAAUACCGCAUAGUCUUCGAUGACGGCAUCAGAUUUGAAGUAAAGAUUUAUCGGUAAUGGAUGGGGAUGCGUCUGAUUAGCUUGUUGGCGGGGUAACGGCCCACCAAGGCUACGAUCAGUAGGGGUUCUGAGAGGAAGGUCCCCCACAUUGGAACUGAGACACGGUCCAAACUCCUACGGGAGGCAGCAGUGAGGAAUAUUGGUCAAUGGACGGAAGUCUGAACCAGCCAAGUAGCAGUGCAGGAUGACGGCCCUAUGGGUUGUAAACUGCUUUUGUCUGGGGAUAAAGUUAGGGACGUGUCCCUAUUUGCAGGUACCAUACGAAUAAGGACCGGCUAAUUCCGUGCCAGCAGCCGCGGUAAUACGGAAGGUCCAGGCGUUAUCCGGAUUUAUUGGGUUUAAAGGGAGCGUAGGCUGGAGAUUAAGUGUGUUGUGAAAUGUAGACGCUCAACGUCUGAAUUGCAGCGCAUACUGGUUUCCUUGAGUACGCACAACGUUGGCGGAAUUCGUCGUGUAGCGGUGAAAUGCUUAGAUAUGACGAAGAACUCCGAUUGCGAAGGCAGCUGACGGGAGCGCAACUGACGCUUAAGCUCGAAGGUGCGGGUAUCAAACAGGAUUAGAUACCCUGGUAGUCCGCACAGUAAACGAUGGAUGCCCGCUGUUGGUACCUGGUAUCAGCGGCUAAGCGA
rnacentral:rRNA from 1 species